CACCAGGCAGUCAGGCAGGAAGGAAUGUUGGUCAGUGGUAUGGGCUGCUCAUCAUCUUGGUAUAUUUAAACACAUGAUGAAUUGUGAGGCCUGGCACCAUCCGAUUCCGGACUGCUCUGAAACAUGCUGUUCUGUGCUGGAACUCGGCAUAUCGUCUCCAGGCAUUACAUUGAAGAAACGGGUACAUUUUCAGAUGAAGAAUAUCAAGUUUCUUUUCCUACAGAAAUAAAAUAUUUUGCCUUGAAUUGUAUUUAGAAGCUAAUAUAUUUUGUUUGAGUUUUUCCAUUAUGAAGUGUCAUUGUGUAGACUGGAAAUCACACAU